UACGUAGGGGGCGAGCGUUGCCCGGAUUCAUUGGGCGUAAAGAGCUCGUAGGCGGCUUGCUAAGUCGGGUGUGAAAUCCUCAGGCUCAACCUGGGGUCGCCACUCGAUACUGGUAUGGCUUGAGUCCGGUAGGGGAUCACGGAAUUCCUGGUGUAGCGGUGAAAUGCGCAGAUAUCAGGAGGAACACCGGUGGUGUAGACGGCUUUCUGGACCGUAACUGACGCUGAGACACGAAAGCGUGGGUAGCAAACAGG
rnacentral:rRNA from 1 species